rnacentral:tRNA from 1 species
GGGGGCGUAGUUUAAUGGUAGAAUAGCGGUCUCCAAAACCGCAGACGGAGGUUCGAUUCCUUCCGCCCCUGCCA